UACGGAGGGUGCAAACGUUGCUCGGAAUCAUUGGGCGUAAAGCGCACGUAGGCGGUCGGCUAUGUCGGAUGUCGAAAGCCUCGGGCUUAACCCGAGAAGGGCAUCCGAAACUGGCCGGCUUGAGUACGGAAGAGGGUCUCGGAAUUCCCGGUGUAGAGGUGAAAUUCGUAGAUAUCGGGAGGAACACCAGUGGCGAAGGCGGAGACCUGGGCCGAUACUGACGCUGAGGUGGCGAAAGCGUGGGGAGCAAACAGG
rnacentral:rRNA from 1 species